AAUCAACGCUGGCGGCGUGCCUAACACAUGCAAGUCGAACGAGAAAGUGACUUCGGUCACUGGACAGUGGCGUCCGGGUGAGUAACACGUGGGUAAUCUACCUUCGGGUGGGGAAUAACGUCUCGAAAGAGACGCUAAUACCGCAUAAUGCAGCGGCACCUUAUGGUGAAUAGUUGUUAAAGCGGGGGAUCGCAAGACCUCGCGCCUGAAGAGGAGCCUGCGGCAGAUAGCUUGUUGGUGAGGUAAUGGCUCACCAAGGCUGCGAUCUGGUAGCUGGUCUGAGAGGACGGCCAGCCACACUGGCACUGACACACGGGCCAGACUCCUACGGGAGGCAGCAGUGGGGAAUUUUGGGCAAUGGGCGCAAGCCUGACCCAGCAACGCCGCGUGAGGGAGGAAAUCCUUCGGGAUGUAAACCUCAUAAGUAAGGGAAGAGCGCGGAAGAUUGAAUACAUCUUCCGCUCGACGGUACUUUAUGUAAGCCAC
rnacentral:rRNA from 1 species